rnacentral:misc_RNA from 1 species
GAUGAAGAACGUAGCGAAAUGCGAUAAGUAGUGUGAAUUGCAGAAUUCAGUGAAUCAUCGAAUCUUUGAACGCACAUUGCGCCCCUUGGUAUUCCAUGGGGCAUGCCUGUUCGAGCGUCAUUUGUACCUUCAAGCUUUGCUUGGUGUUGGGUGUUUGUCUCGCCUUUGCGUGUAGACUCGCCUUAAAAUAAUUGGCAGCCGGCGUAUUGAUUUCGGAGCGCAGUACAUCUCGCGCUUUGCACUCAUAACGACAGCGUCCAAAAGUACAUUUUACACUCUUGACCUCGGAUCAGGUAGGGAUACCCGCUGAACUUAAGCAUAUCAAUAAGCGGAGGAA